AAAAGACUGGACACCCCUAGACCUUCCUUAUAUCUCAGCAGAGGCCAUUUACCCUAUUCUACAUAAGAAGACAAUGGAACUACCACAGAAGAGCUCCAAAUUAUCUUUUGAAAACUGAGACAUGAAAGGAAAUAAUGGACUUAACAAUAUCUACAAAGAGAACCAAGGAAAAUUCCAGGUUUUAGUCUGACACUUAAGGAGCUUAGAAGUUGCCACUUCAUCCUAACAGCAAGUAAAACCUAAACGAACUGAAAAAUCAACAACUUUUCUUAGACCAAAGAAGUAAAGUUACAGUGUAAACUACUAUCCUGAAUAUUGAAAAGACAGGUGGAUACAGAGAAUCACAACUUACUGAAACAGUAACCUACAAGCAUAAACCUCCAUGGGACCCAGUGCUAGGGUAGAAAAAAACCUAAAUUUUAAUUGAUGAAUUGCUGGAGGCUCAGUGUGGGCAAGUCUGAAAGUUAAAACUCCAGAGGACCCAGUCAUAGAGAUGAUGCCCUUAUAUUUUGUGAGAAUUACCUCCAAGAGCUGUACCAGGGACUCACAGAGAAUACAGGAGAAAAAUCUUCUACUUCCAGCAGGGGGAGGGGAUAAUUACCAAUUGCAAACACCCUAGAGCAUUCUGUUUUUAACAAGGUCUGACCUCAGGUGAAACUAUUUACUAAAGCUUAAUCAUCUGAGGUCUUAUUAGAGCCCAAUCUACCUGGGGAAAUAAAAAUAUCCAACUCCGGUCCCCUCUAGACAUUCUGUCUUACUAAGGGGAGAAAAACUGAGGAGCACUGGUGAAGUUCACAGUCCAGUAGCAAAGGUUUGUGAACUACUGACAACCAUAGACCCAUAGAAUGCUUCCCUUCCCCCACAACUUCACACCACACCACUAAAGACCUAUUAAGUUUCUUUUACUUAAUACAUCAUGUCAGGAUUUCAAAGAAAAAAAAAUUAAAAACUACAUACAUACAUGUAUACAAAUGAGGCAAAAAAAAAAAAAAAGAAAAACCAAAAAACGCCAUUUGAAGAUACUGAACAAGCAUCAGAACCAGAGUCAGAUAUUUUAGGAAUAUUGGAAUUAUCAGACCAGCAAUUUAAAACAACUAUAAUUAGCAUGCUAAGAGCUCUAAUGGAAAAAGCAGACAGCAUGCAAUGGAUAAUGUAAGCAGAAAGAUGAAAACUCCAAGAAACAAUAAAAAAAUGCUAGAGAUCAAAAAUACUAUAAGAAACGAAGAAUGUCUUUGAUAAGCUAACUAGUAGACUGCAAACUGCUGAGGAAAGAAUCUCUAAACGUGAAGAUAUGACAGUGGAAACAAAUAAAAAAGAAUUUGGGCCAGGUGCAGUGGCUCACGCCUAAAAUCCCAGCACUUUGGGAGGCCAAGGCAGGCAAAUCAGGAUGUCAAGAGAUCGAGACCAUCCUGACCAACAUGGUAAAAUCCCAUCUCUACUAAAAAUACAGAAUUAGCUGGGCAUGGUGGCACACGCCUGUAGUCCCAGCUACUCAGGAGGCUGAGGCAG
rnacentral:lncRNA from 1 species